UACGAAGGGGGCUAGCGUUGCUCGGAAUUACUGGGCGUAAAGGGAGCGUAGGCGGGUCGUCAAGUUGGGGGUGAAAGCCCAGGGCUCAACCUUGGAAUUGCCUUCAAAACUGACGAUCUAGAGUAUGGAAGAGGUAAGUGGAACUCCGAGUGUAGAGGUGAAAUUCGUAGAUAUUCGGAAGAACACCAGUGGCGAAGGCGGCUCACUGGCCCGGUACUGACGCUGAGGUGCGAAAGCGUGGGGAGCAAACAGG
rnacentral:rRNA from 1 species